AACAGAUGAUAACCAGUGGUGGGAAUUAUUUGAUCAGAAAACCUCUAGGUUUUAUUACUACAAUGCUUCAAACCAAAAAACAGUGUGGCACAGACCAGAGAACUGUGACAUCAUUCCUCUGGCCAAGCUCCAGACCCUUAAGAACAACACAGAAGUACUGGAUGAAGAAAAGAGUGGAGUUAAGAAAGAGUCAGUUGGGACGCAGACUGCUGUAAAAGGAUUUAUACAGGAAGAACUUCCUCGACCUACUAAAUCUCAAGGCAUAUGCGUGUCAACACAGACUAGCCCUACAUCUUCACCUCACUUACGACAUAA